rnacentral:rRNA from 1 species
GAUGAACGCUGGCGGCGUGCCUAAUACAUGCAAGUCGAGCGAACAGACGAGGAGCUUGCUCCUCUGAUGUUAGCGGCGGACGGGUGAGUAACACGUGGAUAACCUACCUAUAAGACUGGGAUAACUUCGGGAAACCGGAGCUAAUACCGGAUAACAUGUUGAACCGCAUGGUUCAACAGUGAAAGACGGUCUUGCUGUCACUUAUAGAUUGAUCCGCGCCGCAUUAGCUAGUUGGUAAGGUAACGGCUUACCAAGGCAACGAUGCGUAGCCGACCUGAGAGGGUGAUCGGCCACACUGGAACAGAGACACGGUCCAGACUCCUACGGGAGGCAGCAGUAGGGAAUCUUCCGCAAUGGGCGAAAGCCUGACGGAGCAACGCCGCGUGAGUGAAGAAGGUCUUCGGAUCGUAAAACUCUGUUAUUAGGGAAGAACAAAUGUGUAAGUAACUAUGCACGUCUUGACGGUACCUAAUCAGAAAGCCACGGCUAACUACGUG